rnacentral:rRNA from 1 species
AUGGAGGACGAUAUGCUAACAUGCAAUUCAGUGGAAAGCCCUGGUCCUCCAUUCCUUGACAAUGCAGCUUCUUCAGUGGCAACUUCCUUGCGCCGUUGUGCGAAUGAUAAACUUCCUGUAUCUGACAAUAGGGAUACCACAGUAUCUAGAUGGAGAAAACAUUGUCCUACCCCAAUCGAAAAUGACAAUAUCUUUGAGAUUGAAACGCACUGCAAGGAUCCAGAACUGUGUUCAACUCUUGCUUGUGACAUUUACAAACACUUGCGUGAAGCUGAGGCCAAGAAAAGGCCUUCACCAGAUUUUCUGGAAACCACUCAGAAGGAUAUUGACACAAGCAUGAGGGCAGUACUUAUAGACUGGCUUGUGGAAGUGAGCAUUUCUAGAAAAAAGGUCACAGAAGAAUAUCGUCUUGUUCCUGAAACCUUAUACCUCACAGUCAGUUAUAUUGAUCGGUAUCUUUCUAGCAAAGAGAUCAAUCGAGAUAAGCUGCAGUUACUUGGUAUCGCCUGCUUGCUUAUAGCUGCUAAGUAUGAAGAGAUAUGUCCACCCCAAGUAGAAGAGCUCUGCUAUAUUACCGACAAUACAUACAUAAAGGAUGAGGUUCUGCGAAUGGAAGCUUCUAUCCUGGGUUGCUUGAUGUUUGAGAUGACUGCACCUACAGAAAAAUGUUUUUUGAGGAGAUUUCUGCAUGCUGCUCAACUAUGUCAUGAGGGCCCAGCUUUGCAUCUUGAGUUCCUAGCUAGCUACAUUACUGAGUUGUCACUUCUGGAGUACAGCUUACUUUGCCAUGUACCUUCACUGAUAGCUGCCUCUUCAAUUUUCUUGGCGAAUUUUAUCCUUAAGCCAACAAAGAAUCCUUGGAAUACCACUCUUUCCUAUCACACACAAUACAAACCAUCCACAUUACGCGAUUGUGUAAAGGUACUACACCGGCUUUUCCGUGUUGGCCUUGGAAGCAACCUCCCUGCAAUUAGAGAAAAGUACAGCCAACACAAGUACAAAUUUGUAGCGAAGAAGUACUGCCGGCCAUCGAUUCCAGCCGACUUCUUCCAAGAUGCUAGCAGUUAG